UGCAGGGGGCCUGUGGCUCCAGGGGUUUCUGGUGGGGCGGGGUUUCCACCCUCUGCGGGCUGCACACCUAACCCCAGAAGGUCAGGGACUGAAAGCCAAUCACAGAAGGCCCAGGAGCCUUGGUGGGAGAAAGAAACGAACAGCGAUCAGUUCGUUGGAGAUGGAAUCCAACGAUCAGUUCGUUAACAUUAAGCGGCGGCCUGUCACGCCCCUCAUGGCAUGCUGCUUCUGCCUUGGUCCCGUUCCAGCUUCCACAAUACGGGCUUCGGGACCUGCCCUCGACUGUGACGCCCUGAGGGCCAAACGCUUUACGUGGUAGCUAUUGAAGGCUUUCACAGUUGGCUCUUUGCAGGCUCAUGAGGCUGUGGUCCACAGACCCGUGUUUUACCCGCAAGAGGAGGGCGAUCCCUGCUCUAUGCUGUCAGUCAGCCGCCAGGUGACAUUCAUCAGGCACGGCGGGACCGAAGUGAGACAGUGGGGGUGCCCGGGCCACCAACAUGCUGAAAGGCCACGUUGCUGGCCUGCUUCCCACACAAAAGCUGUGCCGUGGAUGAUCAAUAACAUCCUGAUUGGGGAGGAAGUUCUGGCAUCGAGCCUCCCGAGGAAGGAGGAGGCGGACACAGAGCAAAUGAUGAUUCUUCCCUGAUAGAAUUCUCCACGAGUAAAUCUUCCUUCCCAUUUAUUAGCCAACCGUCUGUGACAGGUGGGUCAGGAGGGAGAGGAGAGAUGUGUGAUUAAAUUCUGCUUUUCUGGCAACAUCGAAUCAUUACAUUGUUACAUUAUUAAAGCCGAACUCGCUCCAGGAGGCUCCUCCUUUAAAAUGUAUACACCGUUAGUACAUUCGCGUGAAUUAUUCAUCAGGAGCUUUAUGAAAUACUUUGGGCCGAAUGGAAUUGAGCUAGAAGGUAAGGCGAGAGAGAGAGAGACAGAGACUCAAGCCCAAAAGCCAGUGGGUGGAGGCCCCCCAAACCCAAAGAGCCGAGCAGAGGGGGCGCUGCCCCGCCUUGGAACAGACGAACGACUUAGAUCCCAGAAACGGUGGCUUUGUCCAAGAGCGG